UACGAAGGGGGCUAGCGUUGCUCGGAAUCACUGGGCGUAAAGCGCACGUAGGCGGAUUGCUAAGUCAGGGGUGAAAUCCUGGAGCUCAACUCCAGAACUGCCUUUGAUACUGGCGAUCUCGAGUUCGGGAGAGGUGAGUGGAACUGCGAGUGUAGAGGUGAAAUCGUAGAUAUCGCAAGAACACCAGUGGCGAAGGCGGCUCACUGGCCCGAUACUGACGCUGAGGUGCG
rnacentral:rRNA from 1 species